GAUGAACGCUGGCGGCGUGCCUAACACAUGCAAGUCGAGCGAUUUACUUCGGUAAAGAGCGGCGGACGGGUGAGUAACGCGUGGGUAACCUGCCCUGUACACACGGAUAACAUACCGAAAGGUAUGCUAAUACGAGAUAAUAUGCUUUUAUCGCAUGGUAGAAGGAUCAAAGUUCCGGCGGUACAGGAUGGACUCGCGACUGAUUAGCUAGUUGGUAAGGUAACGGCUUACCAAGGCGACGAUCAGUAGCCGACCUGAGAGGGUGAUAGGCCACAUUGGAACUGAGACACGGUCCAAACUCCUACGGGAGGCAGCAGUGGGGAAUAUUGCACAAUGGGCGAAAGCCUGAUGCAGCAACGCCGCGUGAGCGAUGAAGGCCUUCGGGUCGUAAAGCUCUGUCCUCAAGGAAGAUAAUGACGGUACUUGAGGAGGAAGCCCCGGCUAACUACGUGCCAGCCGCCGCAGUAA
rnacentral:rRNA from 1 species